rnacentral:lncRNA from 1 species
GGCUGCGCGCGCCGCGGGUGGGCGGGGCCUGGCGGGGCAUCGGCCGGCGGGAGCCCCGCAACCCCUCACUGCCCUCGGAGCCACCGGUUCGAGUCCCGCGCCCGCGCCCCGCCCGGCUGAGAUGCCAACGCUCCAGUGAGCAGAGACAGCCACGGGGAGAGCGUGGAGCCCAUGUGAGUGCCCAGGGUCAGGGUGGGGCUGCUGGGGAGCAUCCCUGUGCCAGGGCAGGGGGUGCCAGGGAUGGAUCCCUGUGCCAGGGCAGGGGGUGCCAGGGAUGGAUCCCUGUGCCAGGGCAGGGGGUGCCUGGGUUGGAUCCCUGUGCCGGGUCAGGGGAUGCCUGGGUUGGAUCCCUGGUCAGGGCUGAGGGUGCCAAGGAUGGAUCCCUGUGCCAGGAUAGGACAGGGUGUUCCAGGGAUGGAUCCCUGGUCAGGGCAGGGUGUUCCAGGGUUGGAUCCCUGGUCAGGGUCAGGUUGUGCCAGGGAUGGAUCCCUGUGCCAGGGCAGGGGGUGCAGGGAUGGAUCCCUGUGCCAGGGCAGGGGGUGCCAGGGAUGGAUCCCUGUGCUGGGAUAGGACAGGUUGUGCCAGGGAUGGAUCCCUGUGCCAGGGCAGGGUGUUCCAGGGAUGGAUCCCUGGUCAGGGUCAGGCUCGGGGGGCUGAGCUGGGGCUGUCCCGCAGUGACAUUCCGGCCGGCAGUGCUGCAGCACGUCCAUCCCGGGGCAGCCCAAGGUCCCCCAGCUGUCGCUGUCACUGUCACUGCUCCGUGCCGGUGGACAGCUCUCCCUGGUGCCUCUGACCAACACCAAACCCGGCUGAGCACCGAGCCCGGACACACGGACACACGGACCCCGCCCUCAGUGGAUGCUGCAGCCCCAGCCCAGCCCCGAGGGGGCUCCGGGGGGAUCCCAAGCACAGCCUGGGGGUCUCCAGCCCACCCGUGUGUGUCGGGGCUAACUCGUGGCUAAAUCCAUCUUAAAUAACGUAAAAUACACCCCUGUUUAAGGCUGUUGAGGUGAACGCACGGCCCAGGUGCUGCAGGAGCCGGGUUGGUGCCUCUCGCUGGGCUCAGCCCCGGGGACCCCCAGAGCAGCGUGUCCCUGUCCCCCCGGCCAGCCCUGUGCCCUCCCAGCAGGGAAUAGAGGAGGAGAGUCCCUGGCGCGGUGUCUCCGAGCAGGACCCGGGCCAGCCCGAGGCAGGGACAGGAGCCGGACAUGCCAGAGCCAGCCCCGCUCGGCGGGGACAGGAGAGCGGCGGAGAAGAAGCGGGUGGAGAAGGUGGGAGCCAAGGGCAGCGCUGCCGGGCCUCCAGGUGGGUGUGUGGGAAAGCCCUUCCCUGCCCCAGAACGGCCACCCUGGCCCCAGGGGACCACAGAGGCACAGUCCCGUGUCCCCGGCCAGCCCGGGGGCACUGCCUGGCCAUGGAGCAGUGACAGGAGGAGCUGUGCUCUCCGCAGUCCCCGGGGAUAUCAGUGACCCGGGGAAGGUGAUGGUGCUCCUCAGCAGCCUGCCAGAUUCCCCACUUCCUCCUCCUCCUUCUCUCCACCCUGCCCAGAUUCGCUG